rnacentral:rRNA from 1 species
UUAUUUUAUAAUUUUUUUUUAUUGUUAAACAUACAUAUAAAUUUAUUUAAGUAGUUUUUUUUUAUUUGUUUUUAGUAAUUUAUUUUGAAAUGCUUAUUUUUAUUAUAGUUGAUUUUUAAUGUAUAUGAUUUUUUAUAUUAUUUUAUAAGAAUUUUGUUUAUUUUACCUUUUGUAUCAGGGUUGAUUAAAUUAUUUUAUUUUAUAAUUAUUUCUCGAAUUGGAAAGAUUUAUAUUAAUAUGAUUUUUUAUGUUUCAUAAUGAUUUUUAAUUUUAAUAUGGUAGUGAUAUUCUAAUCGUUUUUUAAGAUAUCUAGUUUUCUAAGAUUAAAUUUAAUUUUAAAUAUUUUUUAAAUUAAGUAAAUUUUUAUUUGGUUUUUAAUUUAUUUUUAUUGCUUAAGGGUUAAGCUUUAAGUAUUAUUAUAAUUUUAUUUUUUAUUUUAUUUUCUUAGGCUUGGAAUCAGCCAUAGUUUCAAUUGCGUUCUAGUUUAAUUAAUUGUUUAAUUAUUUUUUAUUUUAUUUAAUUUUUUUAUUGGAAUAUAUUCUUUAAUUUUAUUUGUUUAUUAAUAAUGAUUGAAUUAGUAUAUUGUUUUGUUUUUAAUUAAUUUUUUUUAAAUUAUUAUAAAGGAACUCGGCAAUUUUUUUAUUUAUCCGCCUGUUUAUCAAAAACAUCUCCUUUAGAUAUUAUUAAAGGUUUUGCCUGCUCACUGAUUUUUAAAGAGCCGCGGUAUUUUGACCGUGCAAAGGUAGCAUAAUCAUUAGUAUAUUAAUUGUAUACUGGAAUGAAAGGUUUGACGAGAUAAAUGCUGUCUCUAUUGUAUUGAUAUAAUUUUACUUUUUAGUUAAAAGGCUGAAAUUUUUUUUUAGGACGAUAAGACCCUAUAGAGUUUUAUUAAGAUUAUUUCAUUAAUUUGGGUUGAUUUUUAUUAGUUGAUUUUUUUAUUAAUUUUGUUGGGGUGAUGUGAAUAAUAGUUAAACUAUUCAUUUUUUGUUUUCAUUGAUUUAUGUUUUUUAUGAUCUUGUAUUAUUGAUAUUUAGAUAAAAUUACCUUAGGGAUAACAGCGCAAUUAUUUUUGAGAGUUCUUAUUUACAAAAUAGAUUGUGACCUCGAUGUUGGAUUAAGAUUACUUAUUGGGUGAAGGUGCUCAUUGGAAUUGGUCUGUUCGACCAUUAAAAUCUUACAUGAUCUGAGUUCAGACCGGCGUGAGCCAGGUUGGUUUCUAUCCAAAAAUUUUUUAUGUUUUCUAGUACGAAAGGACCGUUAAUGUUAAUUAUUUUAUUUUAUUUGAUUAUUAAU